AGGAAGGGAAAAAUUAUGAGAUAAUUGCAGAAGUUUAAACAUCAAAUAUUUUAUCAUAUCGAGGAAGUGUUAAUUUUUAGUGUGAUAACGUUAAUAUGGCUAUGUUUUUUAAAGAUCCCUGAUAUUUUUAGUAAUGCAACUUAAAUAUUUACAGAUGAAAUGAUUUGAUGCCUAGGAUUUGCUUCAAAAUACUGCAGGUUUGGAAAGGAGGGUAGAGAUGAAACAAGAUUGGCCAGGAAAUAAUCGCUGAAGCUGCGGGAUGAGUAUAUGCUGAUUCAUUAUAUCAUUAACUUACCUUUUGCACAUAUUUGACAUUUUCCAGAAAAUGAAAAAGUCCUUGCUCUCCAGAAGCUUCUGACAAAAGGAGUCAGAUAUUCCAACAAAUAGAAGACUAUGUAGUUAAACAAAAUAAGCACAAAGUGCUGCUCAAGCUCCAAGCACAGUGACUGCCCCAGGGAAGGCGAGAGUCAGAGAAGAUGUCACAGGAGCCUCCCUCCAUGGCCAGCGUCUUUAAGGAAGAGUGUCCCCAGCACGAGGGCAGCCCAGCGGUACCAAGUCACGCAGAUGCGCAGCGGCAGAGCUCCCGCACACUCUCCGGAUGACUUACAAGAGGCCAUGUUACCUGAGAGCACCUGUUCCAGAGCCAGACCACCUGCGCUGGAGUUCCUGCUCCUGAAUCCCCACCGUGACACUUCGGGCAAGCUAUUUGUAAUGUCUCUGGGCCUCAGAUUCUUUGCCUAGAAAAUGCAGAUUAUAACAAUACCUACUCCACAGGGUGUUGUCAGGAGUCAAUGAGUUAACCUGGAUAUAAAACACCCAGAAGACAGCGGAGCAGAGACUCAGAGAGGAAGAGAAUAUGAGGAUCCAGAGCCCAAGAAUUGAGAAAAUGCAAGAGCACAGACAGCUAGACUCUAAAGAUGAAGUCGGAAGGUCAGGACAUAGGAACAGUUUGAUGUGACCAGGAGUUUAAGCAGAAUGGGAAGAUCAGGAAAAAAACAGGAGUGUAUCUGGUGGCAGAGAUAUGUGGAGAAGAGCCAAAGGGAAGGGUACUUUUCUAGGCUCCAGAAAUUGAACAAUGAAACAAGGAGAACCUGCCUACAAGAUGUUUACAGCACAUUCACCAGGCAUUCUCAGGAGAGCAUGGACACCUGGAGGGAAGAUCUAUCCUAUCAUAUGCUAGGUGCUAAGUACUUUAAGUUGGAGCAGCUUCACUGCAGACUUGACUUUUCAACACCUUCUCAAACAGGAAGCCUCUAAUACCUCAUUAAAAUCUGCUCUCAUACCCGGUCUUUUCUCCAUUUACGGCCGCACAUGACAUAAAACUACUGAUUUUCUCAUCAUCUUUAAAACAGUCUCUAUUCUUCUAAAACGGGCCUUUUAAAAUCAUAAGUAUUUGCUAACUUACAAAGAUCCAAGGCAAACAUGCAAAUAGUGCUUCCUUCUCUCUUCUUGUAUCAGCAGUAGAAUCUCCAUUGCUACCUCAGCGGGAGUGCUUAUUUGAUGUUGUUUUUAGAGCAGCUGUGGUUUCAGAGGUGGAAAGGGGAAGAAUGCGUCAAGGCAGUAAGUGCAUAGGAGAUGCUGACCCUAAGACUGACUCCCAAGAAGGCGAUCCUGCCUGACCUUUGGGUAAUUACUCAGAGAUAGCACCCCCACUCUGCCUAAAAUUCUCACCCCACUUUAUUAAAUUACUUGAUAUUUCAUCCAAUUCAUUUAGCAAAUGAUUUGGAGAACGUUAGAGAACUUUCAACAGUACAUGAAUCACUCGAACAGUCCGACUGCUUUUCCCCACCUCCAAUCUACCACACUGAGUUGGGAGCUUUGAUGGAGUGCGGUUGGGAAGAGGACUCAAAAGCAAAGAAAAUUUGGGCCUAGGUCAGGGAUUACAGUGGAGGGCUAAUGGAAGCAUCAAAGCCCUUUGUGCCUGAAAUCUUGGAAAAAGGAGAAGAGCACAGAUGAAAAGCUAUUGAAGGUAAGCACCAUUUUUAAAGUGUGCCCCAUGUUAAUCCAGCGCCAAGAAAGGUAGACAAAAUUCUUUCCUUUUCUCUAGAAUAUUUCUAAAAUCCAGACCCUAAGUGUAUU